CGCGGGAUUAGAGUUUGAUCCUGGCUCAGAUUGAACGCUGGCGGCAGGCCUAACACAUGCAAGUCGAGCGGUAACAGGAAGAAAGCUUGCUUUCUUUGCUGACGAGCGGCGGACGGGUGAGUAAUGCCUAGGGAUCUGCCCAGUCGUGGGGGAUAACAGUUGGAAACGACUGCUAAUACCGCAUACGCCCUACGGGGGAAAGGAGGGGACCUUCGGGCCUUCCGCGAUUGGAUGAACCUAGGUGGGAUUAGCUAGUUGGUGAGGUAAUGGCUCACCAAGGCAACGAUCCCUAGCUGGUCUGAGAGGAUGAUCAGCCACACUGGAACUGAGACACGGUCCAGACUCCUACGGGAGGCAGCAGUGGGGAAUAUUGCACAAUGGGCGAAAGCCUGAUGCGGCCAUGCCGCGUGUGUGAAGAAGGCCUUCGGGUUGUAAAGCACUUUCAGCGAGGAGGAAAGGUUAAUAGUUAAUAACUAUUAGCUGUGACGUUACUCGCAGAAGAAGCACCGGCUAACUUCGUGCCAGCAGCCGCGGUAAUACGAGGGGUGCAAGCGUUAAUCGGAAUUACUGGGCGUAAAGCGUACGCAGGCGGUUUGUUAAGCGAGAUGUGAAAGCCCCGGGCUCAACCUGGGAACUGCAUUUCGAACUGGCAAACUAGAGUCCUGUAGAGGGGGGUAGAAUUUCA
rnacentral:rRNA from 1 species